AUGAACGCUAGCUACAGGCUUAACCCAUGCAAGUCGAGGGGAAACGGCAUCGAAAGCUUGCUUUUGAUGGGCGUCGACCGGCGCACGGGUGAGUAACGCGUAUCCAACCUGCCCAUCACUUGGGAAUAACCUUGCGAAAGUAAGACUAAUGCCCAAUGACAUCCCACGAAGGCAUCCGAAUGGGAUUAAAGAUUUAUCGGUGAUGGAUGGGGAUGCGUCUGAUUAGCUUGUUGGCGGGGUGACGGCCCACCAAGGCAACGAUCAGUAGGGGUUCUGAGAGGAAGGUCCCCCACAUUGGAACUGAGACACGGUCCAAACUCCUACGGGAGGCAGCAGUGAGGAAUAUUGGUCAAUGGGCGAGAGCCUGAACCAGCCAAGUAGCGUGCAGGAUGACGGCCCUAUGGGUUGUAAACUGCUUUUAUAAGGGAAUAAAGUGGGUCACGUGUGACUUUUUGCAUGUACCUUAUGAAUAAGGACCGGCUAAUUCCGUG
rnacentral:rRNA from 1 species